AAUCUUCCACAAUGGACGAAAGUCUGAUGGAGCAACGCCGCGUGAGCGAAGAAGGUUUUCGGAUCGUAAAGCUCUGUUGCGAGGGAAGAACAAGUACGGGAGUAACUGCCCGUACCUUGACGGUACGUUGUCAGCAAGCCACGGACAACUACGUGACAGCAGCCGCGGUAAUACGUAGGUGACAAGCGUUGUCCGGAAUUAUUGGGCGUAAAGCGCGCACAGGCGGUCCUUUAAGUCUGAUGUGAAAGCCCACGGCUCAACCGUGGAGGGUCAUUGGAAACUGGAGGACUUGAGUACAGAAGAGGAAAGCGGAAUUCCACGUGUAGCGGUGAAAUGCGUAGAGAUGUGGAGGAACACCAGUGGCGAAGGCGGCUUUCUGGUCUGUAACUGACGCUGAGGCGCGAAAGCGUGGGGAGCAAACA
rnacentral:rRNA from 1 species